rnacentral:rRNA from 1 species
UCGGAGGGGUAUAUAGUGCUUGCACUAUAGAGACCGGCGCACGGGUGCGUAACGCGUAUGCAAUCUACCUUAUACGAGGGGAAUACGCCCAAGGGAAACUUGGAUUUAAUCGCCCCAUAGUAUCUAAUUAAGUAGCAUUUACUUGAUGAAUUAAAGUAUUUAUCGGUAUAAGAUGAGCAUGCCGUCCCAUUAGUUAGUUGGUAAGGUAACGGCUUACCAAGACAGCGAGUGGGGUACGGGGCCCCGAGGAGGGGGAUCCCCCACACUGGUACUGAGACACGGACCAGACUCC